rnacentral:tRNA from 1 species
GCGUCCAUGGUGAAAAGGAUAUCACAUCAGAUUCCGGUUCUGAUAUUGCGGGUUCGAUUCCUGCUGGGCGCGCCA